GUUCACUUCGGCAGCACACAGACUAAAAUCGGAAAGAUACAGAGAAGAUCCGCAUGGCCCCUGCGCAGGGAUGACACGCAAAGUCGUGAAGCGUUCCAUAUUUUA